rnacentral:rRNA from 1 species
UUAAAGACUAUUAGUUAAUUUUUCCCGAAAUAAAAGGAGCUAAUUAAAUAAGGAAUUUGUGUUGCAAAACAUAGUUUUAUUUUUAAUUAGGUGUGAAAGGCUAGUCAAUUUUUAUGAUAUCUGGAUUGAGCUAUAAUGUAUAUAGUACAGACAUUGUGUUGAUUAAGCCCCUGUUAAGGGGGGCUUAAAUAAGGAAAGUUCAUAGGAUUACUUGUUUCAAAUAACUUGCUAUAACUAAUACUUAGUAGUUAAUGUCUUUGUUUUAUUUCUUUUUACUUAGCUCUUAAGAAUUUAAGUUAAUAAAUUUUUUAAUAAUGUUAAAAUAAGUAUUUUAGAUAAAUUCUUAUUAAGGAACUCGGCAAAAAUUUUGCUCAACUGUUUAUCAAAAACAUAGUUUUAUGGAAUUCUAUAAAAUGAAACCUGCCCAAUGAAAUUUCAAUGGCCGCAGUACUUUAACUGUGCUAAGGUAGCAUAAUAAUUUGGCUUUUAAUUAAAGUCUGGUAUGAAAGGAUUAAUGGGUAAAAUCUGUCUUGUUUGACUUUAAAAAAAUUACUAAGAAGGUGAAAAUUCCUUUAACGAGCCAAUAGACGAGAAGACCCUAGGAGUUUUUGUUUUGUUGGGGCGACAUUCAAGUAAAUUAACCUUUUAGAGACUUAAAACGAUU